rnacentral:rRNA from 1 species
GGUCACACCUGUUCCCAUGCCGAACACAGAAGUUAAGCUCCUUAGCGUCGAUGGUAGUCGAACUUACGUUCCGCUAGAGUAGAACGUUGCCAGGC